rnacentral:lncRNA from 1 species
GGGAGGUGGGGCCUAGUGGGAGGUAUUUGGGUCACAGGGCAGAUCCUUUAUGAAUAGAUUAAUGCCUUUUCAUGGGACUGGAUUAGUUACCAGGAGUGGAUUGUUAUCAGAGUGAGUUCAGCUUCCUAGACUCUCGUGUUUCCUCUCUUGCCAUGUGAGCCCCUUGCGUACACCUGUUUCGCCUUCCACUUUCCCCAUGAGAUGAAGCAGCCCAAGACCCUCGCCACUUGUGCUGCCCGAUCUCGGACUUUUCAGACACAAGCAGGGCUACAAGGUUCAUCUGCAAGUUUCUUCAAAUGGUUGCAAUGCUUACUGCAACCUCCAUCUCCUAGGCUCCAGUGAUCCUCCUGCCUCAGCCUCCCAAAGUGCUGGGAUUACAAGCAUGAGCUACUACAUCUGUCCAAAAGCUGCAUUUCCAAGACCAGAGACAGUGUCUUGCUAUGUUACCCAGGCUGGAGUGCAGUGACUGUUCUCAAUCCUGAUCAUAGUGCACCAUGGCCUCAAAUUCCUGGGCUAAAGCCAUCCUCCCACCUCAGCUCCAAGGACUACAGGCUCACACCACAACACCUGGCACUCUGUUUACUUCUCUUUUUCCCCUACCAGGUUAUAAACUCCUCCAAGGCAAGGAUUUAGUCCUGCUCACAGUUGUAACAUAACACCUAGAUCAGUGCCUGCACAUAGCAGAUGUUCAAUCAUUAAACUAAAAUUUAUUUCUCCC